rnacentral:lncRNA from 1 species
UGAGCUAUUUCUGUUUUAAUAUCUGUUUUUUUAUAAAAAAAGUCAAUUCAUAUUGCGAGAAAUGAGUUGAGCUCAGGAUCACAUGCCGAGUAAAGAAUAAAGAUUGGAGUUAAUCAAAGAUACAAAUUUUAUAUCCCUUCUACUUGAAUUCUAAGUCCUUGAAGUUUCAGUAGAGAAGAUCGAAACUACAAAUCUCUUCUCCCUGAAUCUCCGAAGUUUCAGUGUAGUAGGCCGAGGCUACAAAUCCCUUCUACUUGAAUUCUAAGUCCUUGAAGUUUCAAUAGAGAAGAUCGAAACUACAAAUCUCUUCUCCCUGAAUCUCUGAAGUUUCAGUGUAGUAGGCCGAGGCUACAAAUCCCUUCUACUUGAAUUCUAAGUCCUUGAAGUUUAGUAGAGAAGAUCGAGGCUACAAAUAUCUUCUCCCUCAAUCUCGGAAGUUCUAGUGGAGUAAAUCAUGGCUUGGAGCAAAUCGAAGACAUAGCUGAUUUGGCUUUCGCGUGUUUACGCUGAAGCAAAUCUAAGAUGAUUUGGCAUCUCUGUAUUGUCAGAAAACAAAUAGAAGAAGCAGAUUCGGCGUCUCUGUAUUAGACGGGAAGCAGAUUAAAGAUAGCAGAUAUCGCCUUUUUGAGUUACGGUGAAGCAGGUUGAAGCUGUCAAGAUUCCAUUUAAAGAAGAUCAAGGAUCAAGAACUCAAGACUCGGCGAGCCUGGGCAAAAUUGGUCUUUUUAUAAUCUUUGCUCUAUUUUUGUUACACAACAAUGAGCAAAGAGGGGCAGCUGUACAGGCCCAAUAUUGCCCGGGCCCAGACAAAUAAAAAAUAACAAAAAACAAAACCCAAAACAAUAAAAAAGAGUCCAAAAUAAUUAGCCCAUUUACAAUAUUAAACAGCCCAAUUUACAUCAAACCCUAGCCCAAAUAACAACCCACUUGCUUAAGGUUUUUCAGCAGCAAACCCCUGGCACCCCAGCUCUCCAUGCCACCAUGUCGGCCACCAUGCCCCUCAACCUUGGCCACCACGCCCCACGCGUCUGACACUCCCACCAACUCCUCCAUGUGCGCCCACCUGUUGAUUUCCAUCACCUGCAGAAUAAGACAAAAAAGAAAGCAAACACUAAGACAGAGGCAGACGACAGGAAGCAAUGGCAAGAAAUUUAAAAAAAUAUUGUAUUGAAAUGGCUAUAAAUGCCAUAUCUGAAUGUAAUACAGGGGGAAUUUUUUGGAGAUUUCAAAGGGAAGAAUCGGUUGUAUUUUGGGGGGAUAUAUAUUUUUUCUUCGGAGAUAAUACAAAGCGGAAAAGUAAAUCAAGAAUCGGAACUAAGUUUUGAAAGGAGAUUUUUCAUUUUUUUUGGAAUUUUCUCUUGAUUUGGAUUUCGUUUGUUCUGUUCCCUUUUCAAAAUUUUUUUUAAAAAAUAUUUUUUUUAAAAAAAACAAGAGAGGGAGAGAGGGGACUUACCGACGAACUCGCGACCUCGGCUCGCCGGACCUUCGAUGAGGGUGGCGCAGGCCUAAAAGAAAAUUUGAGAGCUUUCUCUCUGUUUUUCUUUAAGGAAAAUAAGAGAGAUGAUGGGUAAAU